GUGGGGAAUUUUGUGCAAUGGGCGAAAGCCUGACACAGCGACACCGCGUGAGCGAAGAAGCCCUUUGGGGUGUAAAGCUCUGUCAGCUGGAACGAAAUCAAUGACGGUACCAGCAGAGGAAGCAUCGGCUAACUACGUGCCAGCAGCAGCGGUAAGACGUAGGAUGCAAGCGUUGUCCGGAUUUAUUGGGCGUAAAGAGUUCGUAGGCGGUUCGUUAAGUCUGAUGUUAAAGAUCGGGGCUCAACCCUGGGAGUGCAUUGGAUACUGGCGAACUGGAGUGCGGUAGAGGCUAGUGGAAUUCCCAGUGUAGCGGUGAAAUGCGUAGAUAUUGGGAAGAACACCAGUGGCGUAGGCGACUAGCUGGGCCGUAACUGACGCUGAGGAACGAAAGCCAGGGGAGCGAAUGGGAUUAGAUACCCCUGUAGUCC
rnacentral:rRNA from 1 species